rnacentral:rRNA from 1 species
AUUGAACGCUGGCGGCAUGCCUUACACAUGCAAGUCGAACGGUAACGGGCCUUCGGGUGCCGACGAGUGGCGAACGGGUGAGUAAUGUAUCGGAACGUACCUUUCAGUGGGGGAUAACGUAGCGAAAGUUACGCUAAUACCGCAUAUUCUGUGCGCAGGAAAGCAGGGGAUCGCAAGACCUUGCGCUGAUUGAGCGGCCGAUAUCAGAUUAGCUAGUUGGUGAGGUAAAGGCUCACCAAGGCGACGAUCUGUAGCGGGUCUGAGAGGAUGAUCCGCCACACUGGAACUGAGACACGGUCCAGACUCCUACGGGAGGCAGCAGUGGGGAAUAUUGCGCAAUGGGGGGAACCCUGACGCAGCGACGCCGCGUGAAGGAAGAAGGCCUUCGGGUUGUAACUUACUUUGUAUGAGGGACGAAGGAAGGUGACGGUACCGUCAAAAACAAGACCACGGCUAACUACGUGCCAGCAGCCCGCGGUAAAAGUACUCCUAU